UUGAUUAACGUUGUGUUCCCUCCAUGGGAAAGAGAUGCUAUUUGUAGUCUGCAUCUAAGUGAGUUGUAUCCCAAGGAUGAACGGUAUUGGCCAGCUGAUAAAAAGGAUUUCAAUUCCAUUCGUUCCGGUUACUAUGUGGCUUUGUUUAUAAAAAAUAAUGGUUCAGAAAGUAGCUCGACUUCGGCUAGUAUUAAUUGGCAGCAAAUUUAAGGUUAAAACUUCCACCAAAGGUGCUUAAUUUUCUCUUGAGAUUUUUGUAUGUGAGUCUCCCUACGAGGUUGGCACUCAGUAGACGUGGGAUAGAGGUUUCUCCAUGUUGUCCUUGUUGUGGCAUGGAGGAAUCCCGAAGGCAUUUGUUUAAGGAAUGUUCAUGGGCUCAAG
rnacentral:misc_RNA from 1 species